rnacentral:rRNA from 1 species
CAAUAGCGUAUAUUAAAGUUGUUGCGGUUAAAAAGCUCGUAGUUGGAUUUCUACCAAAGGCAGCCGACCCCGUCAGGGUGUUAGGUAGCCCGCGGUUUUCCUUGGUGGAUGUGUGGCAAUUGGUUUUGCUGCAUUUGCUCCAAGGCUUUUACUUUGAGGAAAUUAGAGUGUUUCAAGCAGGCAUCUGCCUUGAAUACAUUAGCAUGGAAUAAUAGGAUAGGACUUUGGUUCUAUUUUGUUGGUUUCUAGAACCGAAGUAAUGAUUAAUAGGGAUAGUCGGGGGCAUUCGUACUUAACUGUCAGAGGUGGAAUUCUUGGAUUUGUUAAAGACGAACUACUGCGAAAGCAUUUGCCAAGGAUGUUUNCAUUGA